ACUCAAAUGAAUUGACGGGGGCCCGCACAAGCAGCGGAGCGUGUGGUUUAAUUCGAUGCGACGCGAAGAACCUUACCUGGGUUUGACAUGGCAUUGUAACUGGCGGAAACGUCAGCCUCCUUCGGGACAGUGUCACAGAUGUUGCAUGGCUGUCGUCAGCUCGUGUCGUGAGAUGUUGGGUUAAGUCCCGCAACGAGCGCAACCCUCGUGGCUAGUUGCCUUAUCUAGCCAGACUGCCUACUAAAUAGGAGGAAGGUGGGGAUGACGUCAAGUCCGCAUGGCUCUUACAUCCAGGGCUACACACACGCUACAAUGGCCGGUACAGAGCGCGGCGAGCUAGUGAUAGCAAGCGAAUCGCAAAAACCGGUCUCAGUUCGGAUUGCAGGCUGCAACCCGCCUGCAUGAAGUGGGAGUUGCUAGUAACCGCGCGACAGCACAGUGCGGUGAAUAUGUUCCCGGGCCUUGUACACACCGCCCGU
rnacentral:rRNA from 1 species